rnacentral:rRNA from 1 species
AAUAUUGGACAAUGGGCGAAAGCCUGAUCCAGCCAUGCCGCGUGUGUGACGAAGGUCUUCGGAUUNUCAAGCACUUUAUGUUGGGCNGAAGGGCAGUAAGCUAAUACCUUGCAAUUUUGACGUUACCAACAGAAUAAGCACCGGCUAACUUCGUGCCAGCAGCCGCGGUAAUACGAAGGGUGCAAGCGUUAAUCGGAAUUACCGGGCGUAAAGCGCACGUAGGUGGUUCGUUAAGUUGGAAGUGAAAGCCCCGGGCUUAACCUGGGAAUUGCUUUCAAAACUAACGAGCUAGAGUACGGUAGAGGGUAGUGGAAUUUCCUGUGUAGCGGUGAAAUGCGUAGAUAUAGGAAGGAACAUCAGUGGCGAAGGCGACUACCUGGACUGAUACUGACACUGAGGUGCGAAAGCGUGGGGAGCAAACAGG